CAGCAGUGGGGAUAUUGGACAAUGGGGGGAACCCUGAUCCAGCCAUGCCGCGUGUGUGAAGAAGGCCUUAUGGUUGUAAAGCACUUUAAGCGAGGAGGAGGCUACUAGUAUUAAUACUACUGGAUAGUGGACGUUACUCGCAGAAUAAGCACCGGCUAACUCUGUGCCAGCAGCCGCGGUA
rnacentral:rRNA from 1 species